GUAUUUUCUGGGCUGGUGUUUUCGGAUUUUUUUUCCGUGGGUCUCAACUUUCUGGUUCUCCGAAGUGUCGUUCGGUCUCUUGAACAAGGCCACUUUCUCUUUCACUAGGGAUUUAUGUGAACAUUUUGGACGUGAAUUUGCAGUGACCCAUUCGAAGUGGUUUGGAGUUUUGGG